CGUUAAAACAUGCGUUCCAGUACGAUCACCGAAGUUAAGCAAUGUCGAGCCUGCUCACUACCUAGAUGGGUAACCGUUCGGGAGUCUUAGGUGCUGCAAG